rnacentral:rRNA from 1 species
GAUGAACGCUGGCGGCGUGCCUAAUACAUGCAAGUCGAGCGAACAGACAAGGAGCUUGCUCCUUUGACGUUAGCGGCGGACGGGUGAGUAACACGUGGGUAACCUACCUAUAAGACUGGGAUAACUUCGGGAAACCGGAGCUAAUACCGGAUAAUAUUUCGAACCGCAUGGUUCGAUAGUGAAAGAUGGUUUUGCUAUCACUUAUAGAUGGACCCGCGCCGUAUUAGCUAGUUGGUAAGGUAACGGCUUACCAAGGCGACGAUACGUAGCCGACCUGAGAGGGUGAUCGGCCACACUGGAACUGAGACACGGUCCAGACUCCUACGGGAGGCAGCAGUAGGGAAUCUUCCGCAAUGGGCGAAAGCCUGACGGAGCAACGCCGCGUGAGUGAUGAAGGUCUUCGGAUCGUAAAACUCUGUUAUUAGGGAAGAACAUACGUGUAAGUAACUAUGCACGUCUUGACGGUACCUAAUCAGAAAGCCACGGCUAACUACGUGCCAGCAGCCGCGGUAAUACGUAGGUGGCAAGCGUUAUCCGGAAUUAUUGGGCGUAAAGCGCGCGUAGGCGGUUUUUUAAGUCUGAUGUGAAAGCCCACGGCUCAACCGUGGAGGGUCAUUGGAAACGUGGAAAACUUGAGUGCAGAAGAGGAAAGUGGAAUUCCAUGUGUAGCGGUGAAAUGCGCAGAGAUAUGGAGGAACACCAGUGGCGAAGGCGACUUUCUGGUCUGUAACUGACGCUGAUGUGCGAAAGCGUGGGGAUCAAACAGGAUUAGAUACCCUGGUAGUCCACGCCGUAAACGAUGAGUGCUAAGUGUUAGGGGGUUUCCGCCCCUUAGUGCUGCAGCUAACGCAUUAAGCACUCCGCCUGGGGAGUACGACCGCAAGGUUGAAACUCAAAGGAAUUGACGGGGACCCGCACAAGCGGUGGAGCAUGUGGUCUAAUUCGAAGCAACGCGAAGAACCUUACCAAAUCUUGACAUCCUUUGACAACUCUAGAGAUAGAGCUUUCCCCUUCGGGGGACAAAGUGACAGGUGGUGCAUGGUUGUCGUCAGCUCGUGUCGUGAGAUGUUGGGUUAAGUCCCGCAACGAGCGCAACCCUUAAGCUUAGUUGCCAUCAUUAAGUUGGGCACUCUAAGUUGACUGCCGGUGACAAACCGGAGGAAGGUGGGGAUGACGUCAAAUCAUCAUGCCCCUUAUGAUUUGGGCUACACACGUGCUACAAUGGACAAUACAAAGGGCAGCGAAACCGCGAGGUCAAGCAAAUCCCAUAAAGUUGUUCUCAGUUCGGAUUGUAGUCUGCAACUCGACUACAUGAAGCUGGAAUCGCUAGCAAUCGUAGAUCAGCAUGCUACGGUGAAUACGUUCCCGGGUCU